rnacentral:rRNA from 1 species
GACGAACGCUGGCGGCGUGCCUAACACAUGCAAGUCGAACGGAACUGUUUUGAAAGAUUUCUUCGGAAUGAAUUUGAUUUAGUUUAGUGGCGGACGGGUGAGUAACGCGUGAGUAACCUGCCUUCAAGAGGGGGAUAACAUUCUGAAAAGAAUGCUAAUACCGCAUGACAUAUCGGAAUCACAUGAUUUUGAUAUCAAAGAUUUUAUCGCUUGAAGAUGGACUCGCGUCCGAUUAGUUAGUUGGUGAGGUAACGGCUCACCAAGACCGCGAUCGGUAGCCGGACUGAGAGGUUGAACGGCCACAUUGGGACUGAGACACGGCCCAGACUCCUACGGGAGGCAGCAGUGGGGGAUAUUGCGCAAUGGGGGCAACCCUGACGCAGCAACGCCGCGUGAAGGAUGAAGGUUUUCGGAUUGUAAACUUCUUUUAUUAAGGACGAAACUUGACG